ensembl:snRNA U1 U1 spliceosomal RNA
ACACUUACCUGGCAGGGAAGAUACCAUAAUCACCAAGGUGGUUUUCCUGAUAUGAAUGACUCAUCCAGCUCAUUCCACACACAUACUAAUCCCAAAAUGGCAAAACUAGAUGGCAUAAUUGGUGGUCAUGAGCCCAUGUUCACACUGUU